UAAAGAUUCAGUUUCUUUAAAUUUAGUAUAUAUUAUCUGUGAUACAAACACACUGCAUGCAUAGCUUUCACCGGGAUCACUCUAUAUCACUCCCACAGGACUUGUGGGACAGGAGAAACCAACAUGAAUAUGAAGUGCAUGCUGCUUGCUGGACUAGAGAAAAGGACACAUAGAGACACAGAGAAGGAGACUAUGUGAAGAUGGAGGAAGAGACUAAAGUGAUCCAGCUACAAACCAAGGUUUAUAACGCAAACUGUUAUAGGAACACCUUUCCCAAUCUUCUGGAAUGUAGGCAUGACAGGUGACUAAGAGGGCCAAAGAAAUACAACUAAACUUUGUAUAUAAGGGAAAGAAUAAAUCCUUUCUCUUUUCUUUCUCAUUUCUGCUGCCUUGAAUAUAGAUACAAUGCCUCAAGGAUCAACAUCUCUCUUAGCUCAGGAGCUGGCCUUGAGGGUGAGGUCAUGAAUGACUCACCAAAAAGAAAGAAAGAAAUUGUGUUUGUGAUAAAUUUAUGGAGUCACCAUAACUACUUGAACUACUUUCUUGCCUGGUAUGUUUAUGUUACUGUGUUUAAGUCUACAUUACUCUAAUCCAAACCUACUCUUAACUAGUACUUUAGUUUGUAUUGGAAAGAAAAGUACUCAAAAUAAAAGAACUUAAAAAUUGAAUUUGGCUAAAUAAAGGAUUUGAGGCAUUGGGGAAGUGGCGACAGAUUUUAUAGGCUGAAAAGCUGGGAAGCUUUACCAAUCUGUGAUAAAAGAUUUUACAGAUAAUUCAUUCUACUUUAGAAGUCUUGCUAUAUACCUAUCACUAAAACAA